CAGUAGCCACGGUAAUACAGAGGGUGCGAGCGUUAAUCGGAUUUACUGGGCGUAAAGCGUGCGUAGGCGGCUUCUUAAGUCGGAUGUGAAAUCCCUGAGCUUAACUUAGGAAUUGCAUUUGAUACUGGGAAGCUAGAGUAUGGGAGAGGAUGGUAGAAUUCCAGGUGUAGCGGUGAAAUGCGUAGAGAUCUGGAGGAAUACCGAUGGCGAAGGCAGCCAUCUGGCCUAAUACUGACGCUGAGGUACGAAAGCAUGGGGAGCAAACAGGAUUAGAGACCCCAGUAGUCCCUGUCUCUUAUAA
rnacentral:rRNA from 1 species